GUAAUUUCAUGUGCUGCAGCGGCAACAGAAAAACCAAUUUCCCCGGUGUACUUCCUUUUCCCAUGGCCUGCACACAAGUGCCCUGCUGGAAAUAAGAAUUUCGACAAGUGCGCAAUGAACGAAGCCCAACACUGCACCAGUAACGUUGGUUACUGCUGCCACGGCGUAUGCCUCUGCUUACGGUCAAGCAUCAUCAUGUGUCCGCGCCUUCAAAAACCACGAUACCUCGUUGGCGUGCACUGAAUCAUUGCACUUAUGGCCUAUGUAUUUCUGCAGAGUAAUAUGGGCUUUAUGGCAGCAUAACGUUAAAAGGCGAAACUAGAUCGCCUUCAUGAAUGCCAUAUCAAGUGAAAUGAAUACUAAUAAAAUUCUGCUCACAGGCCUC